rnacentral:misc_RNA from 1 species
GUGAACGCCCUCACGGGCUUAUAACUAUUCCAAACCUCUGUGAACCGUGCCCUUCGGGGCUAUUUUACAAACAUGGUGUAAUGAACGUCAUAUAUCAUAACAAAAACA